UACGUAGGGACCGAGCGUUGUCCGGAAUCAUUGGGCGUAAAGAGCGUGUAGGCGGCCACUUAAGUCCUGCGUGAAAUCUUGCGGCUCAACCGCAAGCGGUCGUGGGAAACUGGGUGGCUAGAGUGCGGGAGAGGAGAGUGGAAUUCCUGGUGUAGCGGUGGAAUGCGCAGAUAUCAGGAAGAACACCCGUGGCGAAGGCGACUUACUGGACUGUAACUGACGCUGAGGCAUGAAAGCGUGGGGAGCAAACAGG
rnacentral:rRNA from 1 species